rnacentral:rRNA from 1 species
AGUGAACGCUGGCGGCGUGCCUAAUACAUGCAAGUCGAACGGACAAGUAAGAGCUUGCUCUUAUGAGUUAGUGGCGCACGGGUGAGUAAUGUAUAGCUAAUCUGCCCUACACUAGAGGACAACAGUUGGAAACGGCUGCUAAUACUCUAUACUCCUGUCUUACAUAAGUUAGAUAGGGAAAGUUUUUCGGUGUAGGAUGAGGCUAUAUUGUAUCAGCUAGUUGGUGAGGUAAUGGCUCACCAAGGCUAUGACGCAUAACUGGUCUGAGAGGAUGAUCAGUCACACUGGAACUGAGACACGGUCCAGACUCCUACGGGAGGCAGCAGUAGGGAAUAUUGCUCAAUGGGGGAAACCCUGAAGCAGCAACGCCGCGUGGAGGAUGACACUUUUCGGAGCGUAAACUCCUUUUGUUAG